AGCACAUACUAAACAUAACUAAACAUAACAUUUGACACAACCUGGAAAAAUGAUCAACAUACUUGUACAAUAAAUACAAAAGUAAUUUAUAAAAUGGGCAGAUGUGUAUAAAGACUCCCUGGAUGGAAUAUUUGGUAUAUUAACAUAACAUUUAUUUACCAUCAUUCAACUCCUGCAAAAUUUUGUAUAUCAUCAUAAAAUUCCUUUGAUUAUUAGUUUACAACAGAUUGAAUAUUCUCUUUUGAUAUUUCUUUUUUGAUCAUUUUACUUAUGAUUUAUUCUCUAUAUUAACAUUAGAAU
rnacentral:lncRNA from 1 species